GACGAACGCUGGCGGCGUGCUUAACACAUGCAAGUCGAACGGUGAAGGGGUCUGCUUUUGUGGGCCCUGGAUGAGUGGCGCACGGGUGAGUAACACGUGAGUAACCUGCCCCCUUCUUCUGGAUAACCGCAUGAAAGUGUGGCUAAUACGGGAUAUUCUGGGUCUGUCGCAUGAUGGGUCUGGGAAAGAUUGCGCCUUUGGGUGUUUUUGGUGGGGGAUGGGCUCGCGGCCUAUCAGCUUGUUGGUGGGGUGAUGGCCUACCAAGGCGGUGACGGGUAGCCGGCCGGAGAGGGUGGACGGUCACACUGGGACUGGGACACGGCCCAGACUCCUACGGGAGGCAGCAGUGGGGAAUAGUGCACAAUGGGCGCAAGCCUGAUGCAGCGACGCCGCGUGAGGGAUGGAGGCCUUCGGGUUGUAAGCCUCUUUCGCCAGUGAAGCAGGCCUGCUCCUUGUGGGUGGGUUGACGGUAGCUGGAUAAGAAGCGCCGGCUAACUACGU
rnacentral:rRNA from 1 species